GCGCCCAUAGCUCAGUUGGAUAGAGUAUCGGCCUCCGAAGCCGAGGGUCGCAGGUUCAAAUCCUGCUGGGCGCGCCA
rnacentral:tRNA from 1 species